rnacentral:rRNA from 1 species
UUCGGAUUGCAGUCUGCAACUCGACUGCAUGAAGCCGGAAUCGCUAGUAAUCGCGGAUCAGAAUGCUGCGGUGAAUACGUUCCCGGGUCUUGUACACACCGCCCGUCACACCAUGGGAGUCGGAAAUGCCCGAAGCCGGUGGCCUAACCGAUAAGGGAGGAGCCGUCGAAGGCAGGUCUGAUGACUGGGGUGAAGUCGUAACAAGGUAUC